GGAAUAUUGCACAAUGGGCGCAAGCCUGAUGCAGCCAUGCCGCGUGUAUGAAGAAGGCCUUCGGGUUGUAAAGCUCUUUGUCAGGGAAGAAACGGUAGUAGCUAAUAUCUAUUACUAAUGACGGUACCUGAAGAAUAAGCACCGGCUAACUACGUGCCAGCAGCCGCGGUAAUACGUAGGGUGCAAGCGUUAAUCGGAAUUACGUGGGACGUAAAGCGUGCGCAGGCGGUUGUGUAAGUCAGAUGUAGAAACGUCCCCGGGCUACAACCGUGGGAAUUGCUAUUUGAGACUGCACGGCUAGAGUGUGUCAGAGGGGGUAGAAUUCCACGUGUAGCAGUGAAAUGCGUAGAUAUGUGGAGGAAUACCGAUGGCGAAGGCAGCCCCCUGGGAUAACACUGACGCUCAUGCACGAAAGCGUGGGAGCAAACAGGAUUAGAUACCCUGGUAG
rnacentral:rRNA from 1 species